CGUACGAGAAUUCUUUAGCUUACUAAGGUUAGUAAAGUGGCGCACCGGUGAGUAACGCGUGGGUAAUUUACCUCUGAAUUUGGGAUAACUCCGCGAAAGCGGGGCUAAUACCGGAUAAUAUUUCAGGAUCUUCGGGUCUUGAAAUCAAAAGUGGCCUCUACAUGUAAGCUACUUGUUUGGUGAGUAGCCCUGCGUACCAUUAGCUUGUUGGUAGGGUAAUGGCCUACCACGGCUACGAUGGUUAGCUUGGCCUGAGAGGAUGAUCAGUCACACUGGAACUGACACACGGAGAGCANCGCCUACGGGAGGCAGCAGUGAGGAAUUUUGCGCAAUGGGGAAAACCCUGACGCAGCAACGCCGCGUGAGUGAUGAAGGCUUUCGGGGUCGUAAAGCUCUGUCAAGUGGGAAGAACAUGAUAAAUGUAGGUAUCAUUAUUCACUGACGGUAAGCC
rnacentral:rRNA from 1 species